GACGAACGCUGGCGGCGUGCUUAACACAUGCAAGUCGAACGGAAAGGCCCUGCUUUUGUGGGGUGCUCGAGUGGCGAACGGGUGAGUAACACGUGAGUAACCUGCCCUUGACUUUGGGAUAACUUCAGGAAACUGGGGCUAAUACCGGAUAGGAGCUCCUGCUGCAUGGUGGGGGUUGGAAAGUUUCGGCGGUUGGGGAUGGACUCGCGGCUUAUCAGCUUGUUGGUGGGGUAGUGGCUUACCAAGGCUUUGACGGGUAGCCGGCCUGAGAGGGUGACCGGCCACAAUGGGACUAAGAGACGGACCAGACUGCUACAGGAGGCAGCAGGGGGGAAUAUUGCACAAUGGGCGGAAGCCUGAUGCAGAAGCGCCGCGUGCGGGAUGACGGCCUUCGGGGUAUGAACCGCUUUCGCCUGUGACGAAGCGUGAGUGACGGUAAUGGGUAAAGAAGCACCGGCUAACUACGUG
rnacentral:rRNA from 1 species